UCUCCGUUGGUGAACCAGCGGAGGGAUCAUUACAGGAUCGAAAGACUCCUAUAACCCCUGUGAACUUACUACAAAUACGUUGCUUCGGCGGGUGCCCCGGGUCUCCCGGGGCGUUCAGCCCGCCGGCAGCCUUCAAAUUCUGUUUCUUUGCGUUAGCAUCUCGAGUACACAAAAAUAAGUUAAAACUUUCAACAACGGAUCUCUUGGUUCUG
rnacentral:misc_RNA from 1 species